UGAGGAAUAUUGGACAAUGGGCUAAAGCCUGAUCCAGUCAUGCCGCGUGAGUGAUGAAGGCCCUAGGGUUGUAAAGCUCUUUCACCGGUGAAGAUAAUGACGGUAACCGGAGAAGAAGCCCCGGCUAACUUCGUGCCAGCAGCCGCGGUAAUACGAAGGGGGCUAGCGUUGUUCGGAAUUACUGGGCGUAAAGCGCACGUAGGCGGAUAUUUAAGUCAGGGGUGAAAUCCCGGGGCUCAACCCCGGAACUGCCUUUGAUACUGGGUAUCUAGAGUAUGGUAGAGGUGAGUGGAAUUCCGAGUGUAGAGGUGAAAUUCGUAGAUAUUCGGAGGAACACCAGUGGCGAAGGCGGCUCACUGGACCAUUACUGACGCUGAGGUGCGAAAGCGUGGGGAGCAAACA
rnacentral:rRNA from 1 species